UUUUUUUAUUUUCAUUCAUUUCUACCGUUAAAACUAGCUUCACUGAAGAAAUAACCAUACAAUGACACGUUACAUCCCACGUGUAUCUCAUUUUGAUAUACAAGGACCAACUUUUAACAGUAAAAAUGAAUAAAAUUUUUAACA
rfam:Gossypium raimondii Chr04_contig_1412, whole genome shotgun sequence.